AAAGCCGUUGUUUCCUCCUCGGUCGUCUCGAAUCGUGGGUCCUCAGACAUCCAAGUGUCGACCGCUGUCUCCUCAGCAGCAGCUCCAACAGC
rnacentral:ribozyme from 1 species